rnacentral:rRNA from 1 species
UUUAUUGGAGAGUUUGAUCCUGGCUCAGGAUGAACGCUGGCGGCGUGCCUAAUACAUGCAAGUCGAGCGAAUGGAUUAAGAGCUUGCUCUUAUGAAGUUAGCGGCGGACGGGUGAGUAACACGUGGGUAACCUGCCCAUAAGACUGGGAUAACUCCGGGAAACCGGGGCUAAUACCGGAUAACAUUUUGGACCGCAUGGUUCGAAAUUGAAAGGCGGCUUCGGCUGUCACUUAUGGAUGGACCCGCGUCGCAUUAGCUAGUUGGCGAGGUAACGGCUCACCAAGGCAACGAUACGUAGCCGACCUGAGAGGGUGAUCGGCCACACUGGGACUGAGACACGGCCCAGACUCCUACGGGAGGCAGC